CGGAUUGGCAGCGCGGCGGUGAGGGCUCGCGGUAGGUGGUCGCGGCCUCGCCGGGGUGGGCCAGGCCCGGCCAGUCCGGGUCCGGCCAGUCCGG
rnacentral:tRNA from 1 species